rnacentral:rRNA from 1 species
AUGUCAAAGCUAAUACUUGACGGUUUACACCUCCUGUCGAGUCUACUCCUUUUAGGGGUAAAAUCGAUAGGGGCGGGGGAGGCUUCAUGCAUCCUCUACAUAUUACCACCUUUUUUUGAAUAAGGGUGGAUAUAUGCCAAGAGAAUUGUAGAAA